rnacentral:lncRNA from 1 species
AAUGUUGUUUUCACUUUUUUAUCUUAGUUGUUGUCAAUAGUUCACAUAAACAAUCUCAAAGAGUUGAUUUCUGCUUUUACACCUGCUAAUGCUGUCGUGAGUACUCAAAAUUUUAGGAAGUUCUAUUGCUAUUAACUGAAAAUAAAAAAAAUGGAAGCCAUAUAUGCACAUGUCGAUAAGGCUAUCUACAGGUAUGGGAGACCUAUGGAAGAUCAAAAAAGUGAAGCCUUACGAGGCUUUAUUCGUAGAUAGCAAUUCGUUUUUUAAUUUAAAAAAUAUCGAUGUUGUAGAUGAGAAGGAGGAUUACGAUAAUGAUGAUGAGAUGGAUGCUGAGGAAUAUGAUGAUAAUAAUGAU